rnacentral:rRNA from 1 species
GACGAACGCUGGCGGCGUGCUUAACACAUGCAAGUCGAACGGAAAGGCCCUUUCGGGGUACUCGAGUGGCGAACGGGUGAGUAACACGUGGGUGAUCUGCCCUGCACUUCGGGAUAAGCUUGGGAAACUGGGUCUAAUACCGGAUAGGACCACAUGCUGCAUGGUGUGUGGUGGAAAGUUUUUAACGGUGUGGGAUGGGCCCGCGGCCUAUCAGCUUGUUGGUGGGGUGAUGGCCUACCAAGGCGACGACGGGUAGCCGGCCUGAGAGGGUGUCCGGCCACACUGGGACUGAGAUACGGCCCAGACUCCUACGGGAGGCAGCAGUGGGGAAUAUUGCACAAUGGGCGCAAGCCUGAUGCAGCGACGCCGCGUGGGGGAUGACGGCCUUCGGGUUGUAAACCUCUUUCACCAUCGGCGAAGCCCCGGGUUUUUGUCUGGGGUGACGGUAGGUGGAGAAGAAGCACCGGCCAACUACGUGCCAGCCGCCGCCGUAAAAC